GAUGAACGCUGGCGGCGUGCUUAACACAUGCAAGUCGAGCGAUGAAGUUUCCUUCGGGAAACGGAUUAGCGGCGGACGGGUGAGUAACACGUGGGUAACCUGCCUCAUAGAGUGGAAUAGCCUUCCGAAAGGGAGAUUAAUACCGCAUAAUGUUGAAAGAUGGCAUCAUCAUUCAACCAAAGGAGCAAUCCGCUAUGAGAUGGACCCGCGGCGCAUUAGCUAGUUGGUGGGGUAACGGCCUACCAAGGCGACGAUGCGUAGCCGACCUGAGAGGGUGAUCGGCCACAUUGGGACUGAGACACGGCCCAGACUCCUACGGGAGGCAGCAGUGGGGAAUAUUGCACAAUGGGGGAAACCCUGAUGCAGCAACGCCGCGUGAGUGAUGAAGGUUUUCGGAUCGUAAAGCUCUGUCUUUGGGGAAGAUAAUGACGGUACCCAAGGAGGAAGCCACGGCUAACUACGUGCCAGCAGCCGCGGUAAUACGUAGGUGGCGAGCGUUAUCCGGAUUUACUGGGCGUAAAGGGAGCGUAGGCGGAUGAUUAAGUGGGAUGUGAAAUACCCGGGCUCAACUUGGGUGCUGCAUUCCAAACUGGUUAUCUAGAGUGCAGGAGAGGAGAGUGGAAUUCCUAGUGUAGCGGUGAAAUGCGUAGAGAUUAGGAAGAACACCAGUGGCGAAGGCGACUCUCUGGACUGUAACUGACGCUGAGGCUCGAAAGCGUGGGGAGCAAACAGGAUUAGAUACCCUGGUAGUCCACGCCGUAAACGAUGCAUACUAGGUGUGGGGGUUUCAACACCUCCGUGCCGCCGCUAACGCAUUAAGUAUUCCGCCUGGGGAGUACGGUCGCAAGAUUAAAACUCAAAGGAAUUGACGGGGACCCGCACAAGUAGCGGAGCAUGUGGUUUAAUUCGAAGCAACGCGAAGAACCUUACCUACACUUGACAUCCCUUGCAUUACUCUUAAUCGAGGAAAUCCCUUCGGGGACAAGGUGACAGGUGGUGCAUGGUUGUCGUCAGCUCGUGUCGUGAGAUGUUGGGUUAAGUCCCGCAACGAGCGCAACCCUUGUCGUUAGUUACUACCAUUAAGUUGAGGACUCUAGCGAGACUGCCUGGGUUAACCAGGAGGAAGGUGGGGAUGACGUCAAAUCAUCAUGCCCCUUAUGUGUAGGGCUACACACGUGCUACAAUGGCUGGUACAGAGAGAUGCAAUACCGCGAGGUGGAGCCAAACUUUAAAACCAGUCUCAGUUCGGAUUGUAGGCUGAAACUCGCCUACAUGAAGCUGGAGUUACUAGUAAUCGCGAAUCAGAAUGUCGCGGUGAAUACGUUCCCGGGUCUUGUACACACCGCCCGUCACACCAUGAGAGUUGGCAAUACCCGAAGUCCGUGAGCUAACCGCAAGGAGGCAGCGGCCGAAGGUAGGGU
rnacentral:rRNA from 1 species